rnacentral:rRNA from 1 species
GUCCACGCCGUAAACGAUGUGUGCUAGUUGUCGGGCUUUAGAGUUCGGUGACGGAGCGAAAGUUUUAAGCACACCGCCUGGGGAGUACGGCCGCAAGGUUAAAACUCAAAGGAAUUGACGGGGACCCGCACAAGCGGUGGAGCAUGUUGUUUAAUUCGAAGCAACGCGAAGAACCUUACCUACACUUAACUAUCCUCUUGGGACUUUCAGAGAUGAUUGUCUUCGGUUCGGCCGGGGAGUGAAUAGGUGCUGCAUGGCU